UACGCAGGGGGCUAGCGUUGUUCGGAAUCACUAGGCGUAAAGCGCAGGUAGGCGGUUUGGUAAGUCUUUUGUGAAAGCUCCCGGCUCAACUGGGAGAGGCCAAGGGAAACUACCAGGCUAGAGUGUGGCAGAGGAAGCUAGAAUUCCCGGUGUAGCGGUGAAAUGCGUAGAUAUCGGGAGGAAUACCUAUGGCGAAAGCAGGCUUCUGGGCCGUCACUGACGCUGAUCUGCGAAAGCUAGGGGAGCAAACAGG
rnacentral:rRNA from 1 species